UACGUAGGGGGCAAGCGUUGUCCGGAUUUAUUGGGCGUAAAGCGCGUGUAGGCGGCCAGAUAGGUCUGCUGUGAAAACUCGAGGCUCAACCUCGAGCUGUCGGCGGAAACCAUCUGGCUAGAGUCCGGAAGAGGAGAGUGGAAUUCCUGGUGUAGCGGUGAAAUGCGCAGAUAUCAGGAAGAACACCCGUGGCGAAGGCGGCUCUCUGGGACGGUACUGAAGCUGAGACGCGAAAGCGUGGGGAGCGAACAGG
rnacentral:rRNA from 1 species